rnacentral:rRNA from 1 species
AUGAGGUUAAGAAACAUGGGCUUGCCUGACUUGAGCGCGUUCCUUGCCAUGAUGGGAAUGAAUGUCCAAUCCCGCAUUGAUCGCGAGGCAAGGCCCUUGGAGAUCGGAGAGUACGACCCACCACAUCUUCUUGGCCUCUUCCGUUUCUACCAAUCUGGCAACGUUAGGGGCAGGCAACCUGAGAAACAGCUCGCACAGGAAGCGCUGCUCGAAUUGGACGUACUGGACAUGACCGGUGGGUGGCUUUCGGGAAAAAUAGAUACCGGAGGACCGGCGACGACCACUACGGGAAGACGGACUCGAAUUAUUGCAAGGGCUGACGCAGGGAAGCCGACCGGUGCUGCGCCGACCACUAUGACGCUGGAGAGGUUGCCGCUAGGUACAAGCGCCUUCGAACUCGCCGAAAUCGGCGUCAAGCUGACCCUCAGCAAGACGUCAGAGUUCACGGACAUAGGCGUCACGGAAGGCCCCCUCUUCCGCAAGAUCUUCCUGCCGUCACUGCGCCUCAAUGAGAACACCGCAUGCUGGCUCCUCAACAUGGCGGCUUUCGAGACAAUCACUGCUUUACUCGAUCGUGACUACAUUGUCAGCUCCUACCUGGCCCUCUUCGCCAUGUUCAUGGACCGAGAAGAAGACGUGCACGAGCUCCGAGCUAAGCGUCUUAUCCACGGCGAGUUCACCGACAAGCAGACCCUCGACUUCUUCAAGGGCCGCCAUGCCGGCAAUCUGCACGCAGGGGAUGACUUCUACCGCAUCUUACGACGGCUCGAGAGGUACAAGCAAAGAUGGUGGAUGUGGAUCGCCAUCCAUAGGUUCGUCUAUAACAAUGUCAAGAUCAUCAUCGCGGUGCUCUCCAUCAUCGGCGUGCUCGUCGGGAUCUUCAAAACAAUACUUCCCCUCAAGCAACACUAG